rnacentral:rRNA from 1 species
GUAAUGCGUAGGAAGCUGCCCGAUAGAGGGGGAUACCAGUUGGAAACGACUGUUAAUACCGCAUAAUGUCUACGGACCAAAGUGUGGGACCUUCGGGCCACAUGCUAUCGGAUGCGCCUACGUGGGAUUAGCUAGUUGGUGAGGUAAUGGCUCACCAAGGCGACGAUCUCUAGCUGGUUUGAGAGGAUGAUCAGCCACACUGGAACUGAGACACGGUCCAGACUCCUACGGGAGGCAGCAGUGGGGAAUAUUGGACAAUGGGCGCAAGCCUGAUCCAGCCAUGCCGCGUGUGUGAAGAAGGCCUUCGGGUUGUAAAGCACUUUCAGCGAGGAGGAAGGGGUAGUAGUUAAUAGCUGCUACUUUUGACGUUACUCGCAGAAGAAGCACCGGCUAACUCUGUGCCAGCAGCCGCGGUAAUACAGAGGGUGCAAGCGUUAAUCGGAAUUACUGGGCGUAAAGCGCACGUAGGCGGUUAGUUAAGUUGGAUGUGAAAGCCCCGGGCUCAACCUGGGAAUUGCAUUCAAAACUGGCUAACUAGAAUACGGGAGAGGGGGGUAGAAUUCCAAGUGUAGCGGUGAAAUGCGUAGAGAUUUGGAGGAAUACCAGUGGCGAAGGCGGCCCCCUGGCCCGAUAUUGACGCUGAGGUG